AGCGAACGCUGGCGGCAGGCCUAACACAUGCAAGUCGAACGAACCUUUCGGGGUUAGUGGCGGCCGGGUGAGUAACACGUGGGAACGUGCCUUUAGGUUCGGAAUAACUCAGGGACACUUGUGCUAAUACCGAAUGUGCCCUUCGGGGGAAAGAUUAAUCGCCUUUAGAGCGGCCCGCGUCUGAUUAGCUAGUUGGUUGAGGUAAUGGCUCACCAAGGCGACGAUCAGUAGCUGGUCUGAGAGGAUGAUCAGCCACAUUGGGACUGAGACACGGCCCAAACUCCUACGGGAGGCAGCAGUGGGGAAUCUUGCGCAAUGGGCGAAAGCCUGACGCAGCCAUGCCGCGUGAAUGAUGAAGGUCUUAGGAUUGUAAAAUUCUUUCACCGGGGACGAUAAUGACGGUACCCGGAGAAGAAGCCCCGGCUAACUUCGUG
rnacentral:rRNA from 1 species